rnacentral:lncRNA from 1 species
UCUGAAGUUAGAUCAUAAGGAGGUUGAAGUUUCCACCUGGGUUUCUUAGAACACUCCUUCUGUGAUACUGGGACCCACCAUACCGGAGAAGCCACAGAUUUGCAUCCUGUGUGAGAGCAUCCUCACACCCCAUCUUUCCAGACAUUUCUGCCAAAGUGUCCAACACAUGAGUGAAGCCAGCGUGGACCUCCAUAGCAGCCCUCCAUCCAGCCCACCGAUUCACCUAAGUUGUUAUUUGGAGUACGUGGGCUGUAUGUUUUCUCUCUAACCUUUCUGUUGUAAAUUUUUCCAAGAAAGGAAACCAAAUAGAAUCUUGGAGAAGAUGUUCCCAGUUGGGAUGUCUUACUAACGGAAGUUGAUCCAAAAUGCACAGGGGAUGGACUGUGCUGGGUGCUGUGUCUCACCAACCAGAUUUUUACUUCUCUUGGAAAUAUGAGUGUUGAGAAGUCACGCGUGAGCCGUUUUCUGGGAAUUUCCCUGAGAUAAAAAGUACCGCCUCCUUCAAGUUUCAGACGCCUGCUCAGUGGUCACAUAUCUAAUGAUGGUGGACGCAGGAGUGUGAAGGUAGAUUGUAAAGUAGCUCUGAACCAAAGUUGAGCCACAUUCGGUCACUCGAGUAUAUUCAUCAUCUCUCUGAAUGACAACUUUAGAAAUCUUCUUCCUAUCUCUAUCAAGUUCACCGUCCCUAUGUCGAAGAACACAGUGAAAAGUAUAAAGAGAAAAGGUAAUGAAGGUAGAAUAGCAGCGGGGGCACCGGCGUGAUGAUGUUAAGCUGUAAGAUCAUCAAUGGAAACAUGUAUCACUGCAUCUAACAGUAUAUUGCCACUGUAGUAUGUUUCCUGAGACUUCGUCCUGUCUGCUCAUGAGAAAUAACAAGCCCUGGAGAGUCACUGUGCCAAGUACCACGAAGACACAGAGGGAGCAGACCUGGCCCCAACCCACAGUUGGUAAGCAGGCAGAGCUGAGCUCAGACAUGAUUAGGCAAACUCCAGACAAUGGAGACCUGUGAGUAAAACACAAAAGUAUUGUCAUAAACCACUAAGACUCCAAGGUUGCCACACAGCAAUAACUAAUACAUGGACUCUUGACCUUUUGUUGAAUAUCCACAAUACAAAUCCACAAUAAAAUAGGCAAGUUUAUAACAAAUCAUUAUGUACAAUUUUCAUUAUUCCUAUAUGUGAAUAUGUAUAUAUAUACACACACAUAUAUAUACAUAUAUAUACACAUAUAUAUGGAUAGUGCUUUAAGUUAUUCUUUCCUUAAAUAUCUUUAUUGU